CGCUUAUUGAUUGACGUCCUGUCAGCUCUAAUAACCAUAGGGGUACCAAAAUGGCGGCUGGGCCCAACCUCGGUCCCACUCCAAGGCUCCGUAGCACGAAAUGGCCGCGCGCCUUCCUCUCUUGAGCGCACGCGCGCGCGCGCCUCCCGUCGGACUUGCAAAUCAUCGCAAUGUCAGCCGAUCGAACCGAUUCGCCUGGGGAGCAGAACGGCCGGAGAUCCGUACAGUAGCAGCAACCGAACGCCAAGAUCUUCAAUAGCGACUACCGACGACCGCCUGAUGAACGGAUUGACGAAUGGACGGUCAGGGUGCGGGUCGAUGCCCGGCGAAGGCCGCUAACAAUGCCUAAUCUUUUCCAGGAAGCUGACACAACUCGCCGCUCUGGUACCGAAGUGCCGAGUCGCCUUCGAGGAUCGAAAGGUGCGUCGCGCCCGAUUUCAACGAGUUUCUAAGACGCUCAUUACGCAUUAUCGAUGGAACCGAGGAUACUUGAGAGUUCGGAGUUGACACAGCCCCUGGCAUACGUGAAUAAGAACGCCAACGAGGGACCCAGACACAAAAGAGACUUAUGGUGGGUGUAUGCAGACAGGAGCAAUAAACUCUCCACGUCAAGAUCUGUGUUUCGUAUCAAACCGCAUUAAUAUGGUUUAAUUGAAAGGCGAGAAGAAAUGACGUUUACGUGGAACCUCGUGAAGGAUGGACGAAAUUCUUUAUGUCCUCUCAAGGGACCUUCUGGACCAUCGUGGAGAAUUAAUAUAAGACGCUCCAAAAAUUCUCAUGGUUUCCAUUCAGUCAACGACAGAUUCAAUUACGCUCGCGACUCGGCAGAGCUAAUAGCAACGCACGGUCCCUCAUUAUAUCACUUUCGCUCGAAUGCCUCCCAGUUGCAACAGGAGCAAAUCCUCUGAGCUACCGGUAGAUUGAAUCUCUUUGUGAAGCGCCUUGAGGUCUGCAGCUCCUUGGACGAUAUACGCAAGUAGGCUGCUAGCCAUGAAUAAAGUGCUGCCAACCGGCUUGGUAUUGUCUACGGUAAUGAACUUGCAAGGUAUUCACUGGUACCAACAUCCAGCCAGUCUGGUCUUACGGAGCGUCGUUGAUGUUUGCGUCGGGAAACGAAGAAUCCGCACGUCAGCAGGCGUCGGUAUCAAGAACGAUGGACACUCGUCGAGAAUAAUGGUAGUCCUUGCUCAUACGAUCUGCCUGAAAGAAAUUGCACAACGCUGUUGACACUUGCGUUUGCUUAGUUGGCUGAGUUGCGACAGCGAGGAGGAAAAAAAUAAUUAUAAUGAUAAUCCGGCCAUUCUGCGAGUCCGAUGUAAAUUCACCGAGUCCGAGCAAUUCACGUCUCUCGGGAGCUGGGGUAGCCAUGAUGAAAGUAUCUUCGGCAGAUGAGUAGCCGGUGAGUCUAUUAACCGACUACGGGAGUGUAAUAUUAAUUUGAUUAGAGUCUCUCUCCUUCUCGUAGUACGGUAGAUGGAUAGAGGAGCGAGCUGUGGUGUAUAUGGUGUGCGAUGGUUUGAUGGGGUGAACCAUGGAGAGCCAUGGAGAGCCAUGGAGAGCCAUGGAGAGUCAGGCAUCUUGCCGGUCACCGUUCCACGAAGUUCGCGUCUUGGAUCUUCUCGCGGCUCGUCGUCUCUCCCACGGCCCUGCCUUCGAGUCUCGUUACCUAUGUACCUAACGUCGCUCGGUCCAGGGGCUUUGCUUUCGUUUCGUGGCUCUCUCUAAGACCAUCAGCAUCCUAUCGGGCCGUAUCGACACCUCCUACGAUGCCAUGGCCCAACUUAACCCCAGCACCCCAUUAUUCCCCCUUAACGAUAUUUGGGCCAGUGGUCACCGCAUUCCGAUCUUGACGAUUCCUUGAAUUUCGGUUAACCCUUAACCCCUGAUUCUGGGGUGGAUGGACGUGGGGUGUGACUUCAGAUUAGGUGGACCAAGUACACGUUAUGGGUACCGACCUACUUCACUAUACACGGGGCUGUAUAUAAGUUUUGGGGAAUGUACCUUAGAUCCCUUAUACAGGGUUUGAUUUUUUGUUAUCACUGUCUAUCCAUUUAUCCAUCUAUCGUACAUUCUGGAGAUGCUCGUACAAAAUUGCG